AAGCUCGUAGUUGAAUUUCGGGAUCAAUGGGUUGGUCAUGCCCUCGGUAUGUACUGAUUUCAUUGGUUCUCACCUUCUAAGGAACCAUGAUGUCAUUUAUUUGGUGUUGUGGGAAAUUAGGACUGUUACCUUGAAAAAAUUAGAGUGUUUAAAGCAGGCUAACGCUUGAAUACAUUAGCAUGGAAUAAUGAAAUAGGACAUCCGAUUCUAUUUUGUUGGUUUCUAGGAUCGAUGUAAUGAUUAAUAGGGAUAGUUGGGGGCAUUAGUAUUCAAUUGUCAGAGGUGAAAUUCUUGGAUUUAUUGAAGACUAACUACUGCGAAAGCAUUUGCCAAGGAUGUUUUCAUUAAUCAAGAACGAAAGUUAGGGGAUCGAAGACGAUCAGAUGCCGUCGUAGACUUAACCAUAAACUAUGCCGACUAGGGAUCGGAUGAUGUUAAUUUUUUAAUGACUCAUUCGGCGCCUUACGGGAAACCAAAGUGUUUGGGUUCCGGGGGGAGUCUGGUCGCAAGGCUGAAACUUAAAGGAAUUGACGGAAGGGCACCACCAGGGGUGGAGCCUGCGGCUUAAUUUGACUCAACACGGGGAAA
rnacentral:rRNA from 1 species